GUAACUCGAGUGUCCGAAGCAAUGGUGGUGCGUCAGUGGCAGUGAUUCAGGCAACGUUGGAUGAAGUUUUUAACGCCGGACAUGCUCUUCUUGUUGCUGGUUCGUCACUAUAAACUCCAAUCAAACCAAAGUUGAAUAACAAACUCAGCAACAAGAAAAUCUUAUUUGAGCAAAGCAGAAAAGGCCAUCAACUCGCCGGAAUAGAGCCACUGGAGUUUUGACUUCGAACCAAGAAAGAAAGGUAGAUUAGGGGGAAGAAAUACACACUCAUGUAGGUAUUAAGUGGUGGUGAGGUCUCAAUCUUGACAAAUCUGACGAAAAGUAGGCAGCUAGGGUUUCAUUCUUUACAAGAUUUGUGGCAUUUGAGAAGGAUUCGAGGGAUUAUGGGCUUGGAUUAGGGCAGAGGAGAAGGAGAUGAAGAGGUUGGAAUUGGUUGGAAGGUGUUUGGCCACCGGAGGACGGCAACAUAUGGUGGAAGCAGCGGUUGGGCAGCAACGACUUGAGAGAGGGUGAGAGAGAUGAGAGAGUGAAAGAGAAGUCUCUA
rnacentral:lncRNA from 1 species